UUCCUCCUAAUUAAACACACAGUCUGGAUCGUCAGUGCCUCAGAGACACUACGGCCAGUCUCCUGUUCUCCACGGCAAGCAAGCAGGUGCUGAGUAAGUGCUCUUGGCUCUCGUGUUGCAUGAAGUCUUGAGAACAGGAAAAUGAGAAGGCUCCCAUUUGUUACCAUCUUGGCAGCCACAGUGGACCACAGACAGGAAGAAAGGGGUUGGGCUCAGGGGAGGGGCCUUGAAGUCACAAGCGAAACUCUGGGGUCGCAUCCAACCCCCCCCCCAAAAAAAAAACAGAAUCGAUUUCAUGGACUUCCAUUCAUGAAUUCUGCAGACAUCAAGUGGCACUUACUUAGGGCCAGGCCCUGAGCACCGAGUGAGGGUACGCAGGAGUCCCCUCCCUCUCCCACUGUGGAAGAGCUGCUUUCUCCAGUGGUGAACAGCAAAGGAGAGGAGCCCAGAGACUAGAAGAUCUGCGGUGACUGGCGCACAGACCCAUCUCAGUCCUCCCCUACAUGGGAUCGGCCGACUCUUGCCUCCCCCACCGACAGAGGGCAGUGGGGUGUUUGUUCCCCAGAGCAGGCCAGCUGCUGGCUUUGCUUCUCUCUUAGAGCCACCGCGACCAUCUCCGACCCAGGGGCUUAGCCCACAGGCAGCUGCGGUGCGUGGGCCGGGAGCAGGCAGGCAAGUGGGCAGGCAGACAGGCAGCAGAACACUCGAAAACUGUCUCUGGCCAGGGCUAGGUGUCUCCCCAGAGGACACGAAGACCACGGAUAUCGUCCCUCCUGCCUUUUGAUGAUUUAGACAUGGCUGGAGAGCCCAGGCCCGGCCCCACCCAGCAAGGCCAGAAGAGGCAGCCGGGCACAGCCAUCUCCUGCAGCAGUAACUAUGACCUGGACUACAAGCUGUACAGGGAAGAUGUCCCCUACCGUAGUGUGUAUGAAUGCCAAAGAAUCCCUCCACUCAUUAACCGCGUGCCUGUCAAGAUCCGGAGGACCCAGGUGGGCAUGGGGAUCAAGAGCAGCUGCAGUCCCCACAAGGGCCCCAGGAAGAGCCACCUGCCCCAAGAGCAAAUAAAGCUCCAGACCGAGGAGCUGCACUCCAUCAGGGGGGAGCUAAGCCAGAUCAAAGCCCAGGUGGACCGUCUGUUGGAGACUCUGGAGCGCAUGGACCAGCAGAGGGACCAGCUUCUGGGUCAAGCACCUCCAACUGGGGGCCCAGCCUGCACUCCAAGGUCAGAGGCCAGUGAAGAAAACAGGGCCCUGGUGAGUAAGAGAUCCUCACGCAGCAACACUGAAGCCAAGCAGGAGCCCAGGGGCCAGAGGCCCCAUCCAGAAGCAGACAGCCCCGAGGACAGCAUAGACCCAGAGGAGACAGUGAAGAAUCAUGCAUCAGACCAGGAGGGCAGUCAGUAGAAGAGUGGAACCCCUCCCAGCUCCUUCCCAGGCUUCCUUCCUUGCCUCGUCCUGCCAGUUCCAAGUGUGGAGCGUCCUGCAGCCACCAGCCCCGCUUUCCCAGUUCCAGUGAUGCACAGGAAGAUCCACUCAAGUUCUACAGUCCCUUCCGGUCUUUAAGCUCCUCGGUGUGUGUCCCACAUAACCCACCUUUGGUUCCAGACUGCCCACCCACCCUAUAAAGCCCUCAUUCAGAAUAGGGAUAUCAUUUUUACGUCCUGUUUCUAUCUUGUCUCUCGCUUGACACUGUGUAUUUCAGACCUGCUCUGGAAAUGCUGUAAUGUCAAAGGGGAAGAAUAAAAUUUGUAUUUUUCCCUGGUCA
ensembl:lncRNA